UACAGAGGUGGCAAGCGUUGUUCGGAUUUAUUGGGCGUAAAGGGUCCGUAGGCGGUUUGGAAAGUCGGGUGUGAAAUCCUACAGCUUAACUGUAGAACUGCAUUCGAAACUCCCAGACUAGAGUAUGAGAGGGGUUAAGGGAAUUCCCGGUGUAAGGGUGAAAUCUGCAGAGAUCGGGAGGAACACCAGUCGCGAAGGCGCUUAACUGGCUCAUUACUGACGCUCAGGGACGAAAGCUAGGGUAGCAAACGGG
rnacentral:rRNA from 1 species